AGUGAACGCUGGCGGUAGGCCUAACACAUGCAAGUCGAACGGCAGCACAGUAAGAGCUUGCUCUUACGGGUGGCGAGUGGCGGACGGGUGAGGAAUACAUCGGAAUCUACUUUUUCGUGGGGGAUAACGUAGGGAAACUUACGCUAAUACCGCAUACGACCUACGGGUGAAAGCAGGGGAUCUUCGGACCUUGCGCGAUUGAAUGAGCCGAUGUCGGAUUAGCUAGUUGGCGGGGUAAAGGCCCACCAAGGCGACGAUCCGUAGCUGGACUGAGAGGAUGAUCAGCCACACUUGAACUGAGACACGGUCCAGACUCCUACGGGAGGCAGCAGUGGGGAAUAUUGGACAAUGGGGGCAAGCCUGAUCCAGCCAUACCGCGUGGGUGAAGAAGGCCUUCGGGUUGUGAAGCCCUUUUGUUGGGAAAGAAAAGCAGCAGGUUAAUACCCCGCUGUUCUGACGGUACCCAAAGAAUAAGCACCGGCUAACUUCGUG
rnacentral:rRNA from 1 species